rnacentral:rRNA from 1 species
AGAGUUUGAUCCUGGCUCAGAUUGAACGCUGGCGGCAGGCUUAACACAUGCAAGUCGAGCGGGGAAAGGUAGCUUGCUACCUGACCUAGCGGCGGACGGGUGAGUAAUGCUUAGGAAUCUGCCUAUUAGUGGGGGACAACAUCUCGAAAGGGAUGCUAAUACCGCAUACGUCCUACGGGAGAAAGCAGGGGACCUUCGGGCCUUGCGCUAAUAGAUGAGCCUAAGUCGGAUUAGCUAGUUGGUGGGGUAAAGGCCUACCAAGGCGACGAUCUGUAGCGGGUCUGAGAGGAUGAUCCGCCACACUGGGACUGAGACACGGCCCAGACUCCUACGGGAGGCAGCAGUGGGGAAUAUUGGACAAUGGGGGGAACCCUGAUCCAGCCAUGCCGCGUGUGUGAAGAAGGCCUUUUGGUUGUAAAGCACUUUAAGCGAGGAGGAGGCUACCGAGAUUAAUACUCUUGGAUAGUGGACGUUACUCGCAGAAUAAGCACCGGCUAACUCUGUGCCAGCAGCCGCGGUAAUACAGAGGGUGCAAGCGUUAAUCGGAUUUACUGGGCGUAAAGCGCGCGUAGGUGGCCAAUUAAGUCAAAUGUGAAAUCCCCGAGCUUAACUUGGGAAUUGCAUUCGAUACUGGUUGGCUAGAGUAUGGGAGAGGAUGGUAGAAUUCCAGGUGUAGCGGUGAAGUGCGUAGAGAUCUGGAGGAAUACCGAUGGCGAAGGCAGCCAUCUGGCCUAAUACUGACACUGAGGUGCGAAAGCAUGGGGAGCAAACAGGAUUAGAUACCCUGGUAGUCC